rnacentral:lncRNA from 1 species
UUUUUUAAUUUCCAUGUUUAUUUCUAUUUGGAUUUUAAUUAUUUUAAAAUAUUUUCUUUAUUCAUAAAUAUUUUAAAAUAUUUUUCACUUUUCUUAAUGUCUUAUUUAAUUUUAUUUAAUUUUUAUUUUCGUAUUUAUUUAAUAUUAAUAUUUUAUUUUAAUUAUUUAUUCCAAAUGGUCCAUUUUAACACACAUUUUUUUCUUGAUUUUAUUUUUGUGUCUUAAAAUUAUUUUUAGCUUUUGAUUUUUGGGAUGAAGGUUG